rnacentral:rRNA from 1 species
AUUGAACGCUGGCGGCAGGCCUAACACAUGCAAGUCGAACGAGUGGCGGACGGGUGAGUAAUGUCUGGGAAACUGCCCGAUGGAGGGGGAUAACUACUGGAAACGGUGGCUAAUACCGCAUACGAUCGGAUGGGCCCAGAUGGGAUUAGCUAGUAGGUGGGGUAACGGCUCACCUAGGCGACGAUCCCUAGCUGGUCUGAGAGGAUGACCAGCCACACUGGGACUGAGACACGGCCCAGACUCCUACGGGAGGCAGCAGUGGGGAAUAUUGCACAAUGGGCGAAAGCCUGAUGCAGCCAUGCCGCGUGUAUGAAGAAGGCCUUCGGGUUGUAAAGUACUUUCAUCGGGGAGGCGUUACCCGAAGAAGAAGCAACGGCUAACUCCGUGCCAGCAGCCGCGGUAAUAC